rnacentral:rRNA from 1 species
CUGGCUCAGAACGAACGCUGGCGGCGCGUCUUAAGCAUGCAAGUCGAACGGCAAGAGGUAGCAAUACCUCCUAGAGUGGCGGACUGGUGAGUAACACGUGGGUGACAUACCCUUCAGAUGGGGGAUAGCUAUUAGAAAUAGUAGAUAAUACCGAAUACGAGCACAGGGGUUAGAGAUCUGUGAGGAAAGGAGCUAAGGCUCCGCUGAAGGAAUGGCCUGCGGCCCAUUAGCUAGUUGGUGAGGUAAGAGCCCACCAAGGCGAUGAUGGGUAUCCGGCCUUAGAGGGUGAACGGACACAUUGGGACUGAGAUACGGCCCAGACUCCUACGGGAGGCAGCAGCUAAGAAUAUUCCGCAAUGGACGAAAGUCUGACGGAGCGACGCCGCGUGGAUGAAGAAGGCCGGAAGGUUGUAAAAUCCUUUUGAAACUGAAGAAUAAGCGUUGUAGGGAAUGACAGCGUGGUGACAGUAGGUUUUGAAUAAGCAACGGCUAAUUACGUGCCAGCCGCCGC